GUUAUAUGGUCAAGUGAAGAAGCGCAUACGGUGGAUGCCUUGGCAGUCAGAGGCGAUGAAAGACGUGGUAGCCUGCGAAAAGCUUCGGGGAGUCGGCAAACAGACUUUGAUCCGGAGAUCUCUGAAUGGGGGAACCCACCUAGGAUAACCUAGGUAUCUUGUACUGAAUCCAUAGGUGCAAGAGGCGAACCAGGGGAACUGAAACAUCUAAGUACCCUGAGGAAAAGAAAUCAACCGAGAUUCCCUUAGUAGUGGCGAGCGAACGGGGAUUAGCCCUUAAGCUUCAUUGAUUUUAGCGGAACGCUCUGGAAAGUGCGGCCAUAGUGGGUGAUAGCCCCGUACGCGAAAGGAUCUUUGAAGUGAAAUCGAGUAGGACGGAGCACGAGAAACUUUGUCUGAACAUGGGGGGACCAUCCUCCAAGGCUAAAUACUACUGACUGACCGAUAGUGAACCAGUACCGUGAGGGAAAGGCGAAAAGAACCCCGGAGAGGGGAGUGAAAUAGAACCUGAAACCGUAUGCGUACAAGCAGUGGGAGCCUACUUGUUAGGUGACUGCGUACCUUUGUAUAAUGGGUCAGCGACUUAUAUUCAGUGGCAAGCUUAACCGUAUAGGGUAGGCGUAGCGAAAGCGAGUCUUAAUAGGGCGUUUAGUCGCUGGGUAUAGACCCGAAACCGGGCGAUCUAUCCAUGAGCAGGUUGAAGGUUAGGUAACACUGACUGGAGGACCGAACCCACUCCCGUUGAAAAGGUAGGGGAUGACUUGUGGAUCGGAGUGAAAGGCUAAUCAAGCUCGGAGAUAGCUGGUUCUCCUCGAAAGCUAUUUAGGUAGCGCCUCAUGUAUUCAUCUCUGGGGGUAGAGCACUGUUUCGGCUAGGGGGUCAUCCCGACUUACCAAACCGAUGCAAACUCCGAAUACCCAGAAGUGCCGAGCAUGGGAGACACACGGCGGGUGCUAACGUCCGUCGUGAAAAGGGAAACAACCCAGACCGCCAGCUAAGGUCCCAAAGUUGUGGUUAAGUGGUAAACGAUGUGGGAAGGCUUAGACAGCUAGGAGGUUGGCUUAGAAGCAGCCACCCUUUAAAGAAAGCGUAAUAGCUCACUAGUCGAGUCGGCCUGCGCGGAAGAUGUAACGGGGCUCAAACCACACACCGAAGCUGCGGGUGUCACGUAAGUGACGCGGUAGAGGAGCGUUCUGUAAGCCUGUGAAGGUGAGUUGAGAAGCUUGCUGGAGGUAUCAGAAGUGCGAAUGCUGACAUGAGUAACGACAAUGGGUGUGAAAAACACCCACGCCGAAAGACCAAGGGUUCCUGCGCAACGUUAAUCGACGCAGGGUUAGUCGGUUCCUAAGGCGAGGCUGAAAAGCGUAGUCGAUGGGAAACAGGUUAAUAUUCCUGUACUUCUGGUUACUGCGAUGGAGGGACGGAGAAGGCUAGGCCAGCUUGGCGUUGGUUGUCCAAGUUUAAGGUGGUAGGCUGAAAUCUUAGGUAAAUCCGGGGUUUCAAGGCCGAGAGCUGAUGACGAGUCGUCUUUUAGAUGACGAAGUGGUUGAUGCCAUGCUUCCAAGAAAAGCUUCUAAGCUUCAGGUAACCAGGAACCGUACCCCAAACCGACACAGGUGGUCGGGUAGAGAAUACCAAGGCGCUUGAGAGAACUCGGGUGAAGGAACUAGGCAAAAUGGCACCGUAACUUCGGGAGAAGGUGCGCCGGCUAGGGUGAAGGAUUUACUCCGUAAGCUCUGGCUGGUCGAAGAUACCAGGCCGCUGCGACUGUUUAUUAAAAACACAGCACUCUGCAAACACGAAAGUGGACGUAUAGGGUGUGACGCCUGCCCGGUGCCGGAAGGUUAAUUGAUGGGGUUAGCGCAAGCGAAGCUCUUGAUCGAAGCCCCGGUAAACGGCGGCCGUAACUAUAACGGUCCUAAGGUAGCGAAAUUCCUUGUCGGGUAAGUUCCGACCUGCACGAAUGGCGUAACGAUGGCGGCGCUGUCUCCACCCGAGACUCAGUGAAAUUGAAAUCGCUGUGAAGAUGCAGUGUAUCCGCGGCUAGACGGAAAGACCCCGUGAACCUUUACUGUAGCUUUGCACUGGACUUUGAGCCUGCUUGUGUAGGAUAGGUGGGAGGCUUUGAAGCGUGGACGCCAGUUCGCGUGGAGCCAUCCUUGAAAUACCACCCUGGCAUGCUUGAGGUUCUAACUCUGGUCCGUGAUCCGGAUCGAGGACAGUGUAUGGUGGGCAGUUUGACUGGGGCGGUCUCCUCCUAAAGAGUAACGGAGGAGUACGAAGGUGCGCUCAGACCGGUCGGAAAUCGGUCGCAGAGUAUAAAGGCAAAAGCGCGCUUGACUGCGAGACAGACACGUCGAGCAGGUACGAAAGUAGGUCUUAGUGAUCCGGUGGUUCUGUAUGGAAGGGCCAUCGCUCAACGGAUAAAAGGUACUCCGGGGAUAACAGGCUGAUACCGCCCAAGAGUUCAUAUCGACGGCGGUGUUUGGCACCUCGAUGUCGGCUCAUCACAUCCUGGGGCUGAAGCCGGUCCCAAGGGUAUGGCUGUUCGCCAUUUAAAGUGGUACGCGAGCUGGGUUUAGAACGUCGUGAGACAGUUCGGUCCCUAUCUGCCGUGGACGUUUGAGAUUUGAGAGGGGCUGCUCCUAGUACGAGAGGACCGGAGUGGACGAACCUCUGGUGUUCCGGUUGUCACGCCAGUGGCAUUGCCGGGUAGCUAUGUUCGGAAAAGAUAACCGCUGAAAGCAUCUAAGCGGGAAACUUGCCUCAAGAUGAGAUCUCACUGGGAACUUGAUUCCCCUGAAGGGCCGUCGAAGACUACGACGUUGAUAGGCUGGGUGUGUAAGCGUUGUGAGGCGUUGAGCUAACCAGUACUAAUUGCCCGUGAGGCUUGACCAUAUAACACCCAAACA
rnacentral:rRNA from 1 species